CCCUCAAGCUCCGCUCAUUCCCCUCUUCCUUCUUCCGCCGCCCCUUCUCCUUCCCCUUCGCUUCUCUCCUCAUCUGCUAGCCCGGAAAGGCUCAGCAAGGCAGCACUCGCGCUGCAGUGGUGCUGUGCGUGAGGAACUCCCAUGUUAUCGAUCUGGUGUUGCUGUGCGUGAGGAGGACAGACAUGGGGAAGGCUCAGCAAGGCAGCGCUCGCGCUGCAGUGGUGUUCUGCGUGAGGAGGACGGGCAUGGGGAAGGUGCAACAAGGCAGCACUCGCAUCGCAGUGGAGUGGAGCCGGCCGUCACUACCAACUGCUGCUCCCUGGUUGCCGUCCCUCAUCCGUCAUCUGGGUUGCACUUCUUUGGCCCUGCCAUCUUCUUCCUCCCCAGUUUUUUUCUCUUUAUUUCAUAGGUUCUUUGAUAAUCUGAUUUUCUUUCUUGAUAUCACAUAGUCAUGGUUGGCAGCUAAUAUCCAAAAUUUUAGUGUUGUCAGUACACUGAGGUUUAUCUUAUUUUGCUAAAGGUUUUGUCUAUCAAGAACUACAUAUGCUCGACAUGGUGUCGUGGUAUCUAUAGUUGUUGUGGAGCUUGCUGGUAUUCUGACCUUCCACUGCCUCUUUCCCCUCUCUGUGCCUAUGCGAGCUACAUUGGAAGAAUCCAUGUAUUUAGUUGUGGCAUGUUUGGCAGCUACAGCAGCUUGAUAAUUAAUUAGUUCUCAUCCAAGGUGAUUUACUUCUCCCCUUUAUGUAUAAUGGAUGGAUGUAUGUGGUGGUUGGUUGUCAUUACUGAAGCAAGAGUUGGCUGGAGUGAUUUAUCUUGCUAAUGAGAAUUUGUACAUUUCCAUUUAUUUUCCGCUUAUCCAUUUGUUUUGUAUAAUAUAUGGAUGUUGUAGGAUAAAGAUGAACUAAAAAUUGACAGCAUGUACAGAGCUGGACAAAGCUUAUGAAUGUACCAUGGGAACACAGAGUUCACUUAAAUUAAUAUUGUCCUUGCUUAUUUGAACCAUCUUUUGUUUCUUGCAAUAGGGGGGUUUAUUCACAAGGCUUAUCUUGUGGUGUGUCGGCAGCGCGACUGUACGCCACUGUUACUAGGUUGUUUCAUUUCUACAGCAACACAGGCAAUGCUUAUGUAUUGCACAUAUUUUUAUUUCUUUUGAUUUUGCCUUGGUUGUUAUUUAUGCAUAUAGCCUCAUGUAUGGGAUCCUAUUUCAGGGCACCGUUUUCAAUGGUUAGUUGAGGUGCUUCUGGUUUUCUGAAUGAGUACAUAGGUAAUGUUGAAGAUGCUCUGUCCUUAAUUUUUAGAUGUUUACUUUGGUUAUUGUUCUCACUUUGGUCAGUGCAGAUCUUCUUUUUAAAUAGCACGGAUAGAGGACCAGAAAAGAGAUACUUUUCUUGUUGGUGCACUUGCAAGUAUAUGCGGAUCUGCACCUUAGAUUUCCUUGCCUUUGGCUGGCUGUCCUUUUCUUUUGCUAGGCCAUCGACUUGCUUUCAACUCGAGCAGGAUUUGCUGCAACCUCCUGUUUGUGACGUGGUGCCGCCAAAGGUAUCCUUCUCUCUGUCCUGAUUCUAAUUCUCUGCCAUCUAUUUGUUCACCAACCAUUUAUUUUCUGUUGAAAUGAAUGGUAUUACUUUAUUUUCAAUUUCCUAAAUCUAUAUUAUACUUCUAUUGCAAUAUAAUAUAACGAGGCAUGGUCAGUUGGAAACAUUAUUCGCAUAUGAACAGGCCCAAAGGAGUUCUGAGGUAUUGAUACUCCUGUCAAUCUGCUCUAAUCUGGUUCGUCGAUAUCCUGAAGGAAUUAUACCAUCCUAUAUUCUUUUUUCUGAUUUUGGUUGGAUACCUGCUUAGAUGGGUGAACUUUUAACCCAUCUUUUAUUGCUUGCAGGUGUAUUUGUUGGGUUCCUCUUGGUGUGUUGAACAAAAAUUGGCGUGCAUCACUGAUAUUUAAAGAUGGUUUGAUCAGUACUAGGGAAAACCCAUAGAUGGAAGGAAAUUAUUGUAGGUAUCUAAGAAUGCUGAUGAUUACACUCGGAGCAAGCUUGUCGCGGCGCUGCAAGUGUUGUCCCCCUCCCCCCCAAGGGCAAGGUGAAGGAAGGUGCCUGUGUGGUUCUUCUGCAGCUCGCAGCGAGGAUUGCUGUGUCCAACCUGCACAAAAAUGCCAAGAAGUCCUUCUCGGAAACGUAAAGGCCUGUUUGUAUCCUGCCCAUGGUUGCCCUGCCUUGCCAACGAUGGCACACCAAUAAUUUGGUGCAGGAUUCCGCCGCUAACUGUUUGCCAAAAAAUUGGCUACGUAUUGAACGGGAGGAGCUACAGGGCUUAGGGUGAGCCAAAUAAUCGGAAGCCAACAAACACACGCCACGCUGUGGUCAACGCCAAAUAUUUGGCAUGGCAAACCGGGGCUGCAAUCCAAACAGCCUCUAAACCACGGCACAUGUUUCUGCCAUGAUUUCCUUCAGUUGAAUUUUGUGGAUUUAGGUGUUGAAAAAUUAUGGGCUGUGGAUGCAGGAUUAGGACAUGUACCUGCACUACAACGAGAGAUCUGGGCUGCUUCUUUGUGGCUUCCAAACUUGAAAUGUUUGUCGGGAAGUUAGUUUAGUCUUUUGUUGUGGA